AUCCAACUGACGAGUCCCUAAGCAGGACGAAACGCGAGUCCUGGAU
rnacentral:hammerhead_ribozyme from 1 species